GAAGGUAUGACCCUUCGAAGUCGACUUUCAGGAGUAGGCUUCAAACCACCUUAAGCGGCCGUGGUAAAGAGCCACGGUCGUGAGCGUUAAGGAAAAGUCGAACAAGAUUCGGCAGGU
rfam:Caedibacter sp. 38-128 SCNpilot_expt_500_p_scaffold_571, whole genome shotgun sequence.